rnacentral:rRNA from 1 species
AUGAACCUGGACGCGGUCCGGCAUCGACGUCGUGCUCCAGGGGAGGGGAAGGAGCUAGCUGAGAUGGACGUUGGGCACGUUGCACUGCACAGAGAGCAUGGAAAAUGUAGUGAUCCGCAUUUCGAGAGGAUAUGCGUCGCCUAUUACACGUUACUUUACUUUGCAUCAACCAGUCACGACGCCGGGAAAGGGGAAUAUGCGCUCUCAGGAAGGGGGCGAAUCAGUCGUUUUUCUGCAGGCAGGCCCGAGCGAUGCAACCUGAGGCACGUGGGUGUGGGCGGUUGCACACGCGGAGGUGGUCUCAAGGCGUUGCGUUGUUUCUUGAAGGAGUUGGGGAUGUGGUUCAUGGCGAUGGAGAGGUGGUGGCAGAGCCCAGAGAGAAGGGCAAGGAGGUGGUGCCGCCCUUGGAGGAUGACGUGGUGUAGGAGCCCUCCAGCGGGGUCGGUCCCCCCUCGCCGCCAUCCACCAAAUCAGGAUUGGCACACGGUCACAUUCAAGCUACUGACCCCCGUCACCCUGAAGGUGAUCUUCUUCAACGACGAUGGCGUGGAGGUGGUCGCCAAGUGCAAGAAACACGAUGACGUCUGCGCCGUGAACGUAUAG